rnacentral:rRNA from 1 species
AGUGAACGCUGGCGGCGUGCCUAAUACAUGCAAGUCGAACGAAGUGGCGCACGGGUGAGUAAUAUAUAGUUAAUAUGCCCUCCACAGAGGAACAACAGUUGGAAACGAGUGCUACUACCUCAUAGUGUAGGAUGAGACUAUAUCGUAGCAGCUAGUUGGUAAGGUAAUGGCGUAGCAGGGAUAUGACGAGUAACUGGUGUGAGAGGCUGAUCAGUCAGAUUCGAGCUGAGCCACGGUUCAAUCUCCUACGGGAGGAAGCAGUAAGGAAUAUUGCGCAAGGGGGGGAAGCCUGACGCAGCAACGGCGCGUGGAGGAUGACCCUUUUCGUAGCGUAAACUCCUUUUGUCAGGAAAGCGGUACCUGAUGAAUAGGCACCGGCUAACUCCGUGCCAGCAGCCGCGGUAAUAC